AGAAGUAGAUCCAAGUAAGAGCUUAUGUCAAAAGGAAUAAACCAUUUACCUCGUAUUUGUGAAUCCCUUCGAUUAAAUGAGUGCAAGUAAUGCAUGGCCCUCAUGUUUAAUCUUCUAUAGCCUUGUGUUAGUGAAUCUCUUUGAUUUAAUGAAUGCAUGGUCCUCAUGUUUAGUCUUCUAUAAGUAGUUAUGAAAAUCAUUGCAUCAUGUACAUUAGAAAACUAGAUAGCCAAACCACACAAGGUUUAGAACAUGCAAUCUUAUCAGAUUUCUG
rnacentral:misc_RNA from 1 species